rnacentral:rRNA from 1 species
UGUUGGGUUAAGUCCCGCAACGAGGCCACCCUUCGUCUUUAGUUGCCAUCAUUAAGUGGGCACUUUAAGGGAAACGCCGGUGACAAACCGGAGGAAGGUGGGGAUGAAGUCAAAUUCUCAUGGCCCUUUACACGUGGGGUACCCACCUGGUACAAUGGGCGGUACCAAGGGGAGGGAACCUGGGGGGGCAAGGAUAAUCUCCAAAAGCCGUCUCAGUUCGGAUUGUAGUCUGCAACUCGAGAGCAUGAAG